rnacentral:rRNA from 1 species
CCUACGGGCGGCAGCAGUAGGGAAUCUUCCACAAUGGGCGAAAGCCUGAUGGAGCAACGCCGCGUGGGUGAAGAAGGUCUUCGGAUCGUAAAACCCUGUUGUUAGAGAAGAAAGUGCGUGAGAGUAACUGUUCACGUUUCGACGGUAUCUAACAAGACAGCCACGGCUAACUACGUGCCAGCAGCCGCGGUAAUACGGAGGUGGCAAGCGUUAUCCGGAUUUAUUUGGCGUAAAGGGAACGCAGGCGGUCUUUUAAGUCUGAUGUGAAAGCCUUCGGCUUAACCGGAGUAGUGCAUUGGAAACUGGGAGACUUGAGUGCAGAAGAGGAGAGUGGAACUCCAUGUGUAGCGGUGAAAUGCGUAGAUAUAUGGAAGAACACCAGUGGCGAAAGCGGCUCUCUGGUCUGUAACUGACGCUGAGGUUCGAAAGCGUGGGUAGCAAACAGGAUUAGAUACCCUAGUAGUC